UUUUAAUAUAACUAAACAUUACUUGUCAGUCUCAAUUAAAUGAUGAAUUUUUAUGUCAUGCACCAAUCUGAAAGGUUUUGCUGAAUACUCACCUAUUUUUAUCUGAUAAUUCCUAUCUUGUUAAACUAGCAGUUUAACGUUGAACAAAAUAUUCAGUCUUGUUUCUAUCUUUCUAGGUUCUCAACUAUAACAAAAACUAAAGUGAUUCAAUCUAAGAAUCUGUCAACUGAAAUACUCACCUGGGCAUUUAGAUAGAUAGUCCAGUUGCCCAUGGAGGAUUGUGACAGGAUUUCCAUCUAAAAGGUACAAAUGUCACUGUGGGCAACAAAUUUUGUUUGAAAAUAAAUAUAAUUAUAUAAUA